AGCCUACAGGCGCGGGGAGUGAAGAUUUUAGAGGAGGGGCCGCCAUAUUGUCUGGCGAUACUAGUACUACUCCCUAGUGGUAGAAUAAUAAAAUUGCUGUAUUUACAUGUGUCGAAAAUGACAGUGUGUAACAGUUUUCGAAAAUUUCAAGAUAUUCAAUAUAAAAUAAAAAUGCCGCUUUGUGUAGCAAUCAAUUGUAACAAUAAAAGUUACCGAAAAGCGAAAAAUCAGGUGCAUCUAGAGAAAAAUAACAACAUAACAUUUCACCGAUUUCCAAAAGAUAAAGCCAAAAAAUAGACUUGGAUUAAAGCUAUGGGUCUUCAUGUGGAAUCUUUAUCCAAGUCCCCACAUUUAUGCUCAUUGCACUUUUCAGAGAGCGAUUUUGAUCGUAGCUCUUUGAUGCGAACAAGGUUACAAGAAAGUGCCAUUCCAUUCCCAAAUAUAU